CAAUAGCGUAUAUUAAAGUUGUUGCAGUUAAAAAGCUCGUAGUUGGAUUUGUGGCGUACGGUGUGUUCCGGGCACUUGUUGUCUGAGUAACCUGCUGUUGCCAUCCUUGGGUGGAACCUGUGUGGCAUUAGGUUGUCGUGCAGGGGAUGCCCAUCAUUUACUGUGAAAAAAUUAGAGUGUUCAAAGCAGGCUUAUGCCGUUGAAUAUAUUAGCAUGGAAUAGUGAGAUAGGACUUUUUUGCUAUUUUGUUGGUUUGCGCAAAGAGGUAAUGAUUAAUAGGGACAGUUGGGGGUAUUCGUAUUCCAUUGUCAGAGGUGAAAUUCUUGGAUUUUUGGAAGACGAACUACUGCGAAAGCAUUUACCAAGGAUGUUUUCAUUAA
rnacentral:rRNA from 1 species